rnacentral:rRNA from 1 species
ACGCGAAGAACMUUACCAAGGCUUGACAUACACCGGAAAGCAUUAGAGAUAGUGCCCCCCUUGUGGUCGGUGUACAGGUGGUGCAUGGCUGUCGUCAGSUMGUGUCGUGAGAUGUUGGGUUAAGUCUCGCAACGAGCGCAACCCUUGUUMUGUGUUGCCAGCAUGCCSUUCGGGGUGAUGGGGASUCACAGGAGRCMKCCGGGGUCAASUCGGAGGAAGGUGGGGACGAAGUCAAGUCAUCAUGCCCCUUAGAGUYUGGCAUCCCCCCGAAGGRCAAUGGCAGGUACAAGGACAAGGGAUGCGGUGAGGUGGGGAGUUUAUCAAAAAUCCUGUGUCASGUGSGGAYGGCAUCCAAACUCCACCCCACGAAGUCGG